CGAGGCUCGCCGAGCGUUUUAAAUAUUUAAAAUUUAACUGUCGAGAGCGGAUAAAUAUCGUAUCACACGAGGUUUGGUGGUAGAAUCUGUUUCUCUUCGUAAAGAAGAAAUACGUUUGCCGGCAUAUUGUUUGAAAAUCAUAAGAGGAACAGAUUCUACCGCCAAAGUUCGUGUAAUACGAUAUUUAUCCACUCUCGAAAGUUAAAUUUUUAAAAUUUAAAACACUCGACAAGCCUCG
rnacentral:sRNA from 1 species